UGUGUGUGUGUGUGUGUGUGUGUGUGUGUGUGUGUGUGUGUGUGUGUGUGUGUUUGUACCGGGCAGGGAGGGGGGUCCAGAUAUAGAUCGUGACCCUCCCACCUAGUACAGUUUCUUGCAUAUAGUUCCAAAAAGGGAUUGCCAGAGACUUUGUGGUUCAUUUUGACAAAUGAUUACUAUGUGGAUAUAGGAACAGGAAUUCCCUGGUUUAUAAAAGAACUUCUGGAGGGAGUCUAGUCAAUGCAGACGUCUCUGCAUCUUCGUGUUGCCCCGUGCACAUUGUUUAUCUGGGUCUCUCUGUGGGCUCAUGUGAGCAAUGUUUCCAAUUUGGUAUUUUGUUGCUUUUAUUUAAAAGCCUAAUAUCAUAUUAUACAGAGGUUUGUUCAGAUUUUAACCAGAAAUGGAUGUUUCUGUAGUUCUGUGGUCUGUUCCUUUUGUGCAUGUUUGUGUAAGUGUAUGUGCAUAUCUGCAUCUGUCAGUCUGUAAGAAACAAAAAAGUGUGCAUAUUGCAUGUGUAUGCCUUUUAUAUUUGCCUCCUUUUUUCCCCCUCCUAGACACCUAAACAGUUAGGUACUUGCAUGGCAAUUUAUACAUAACUACAUUGCAUUGCUGUAAUUGGUUAAUCUUUUCUACUGUAUGAGUGCUUAGAAAUACAAUUUACAAUGCUCAAAUAACUAUAGCUACAACCAUGACACUUGAAACAAUGUCCUGCAUGUAAAGCCAGUAAAAUCUGUGGUUUUGAAUAUUUUUGUUUUAAAAGAAAGCUGUAAGAAAAGUGAAAAACAUCAUAGUUCUAUGUGUUCUGUUCAUGUUUUUGCAGGAAGCUAUUUAAGAAAAUCCACAAGAAGUUCUUGUAGAAGAAGAAUCUGCCUUGCGCAAUCUGUUUAUCUCAGUUCCAUAUGCCAAGAGGCCAUUUUUGCAGCUUAAUCAAGGAACAAGAUGACAGAGACUUUUUAUUUAACUUCUGUUUCUAAAAGCUUUAAAAUGCUUGGAUAUUUCUAAUUGCCAAUUGUUGGGCAUUAUGUUUUUUAUUAUUUUGUAGAAAUAGAAAGACCUACCAGUUUUUAAUCUAGACAGUAUAACAUAAAUACAUAAUACAUACAUACAGAGUUGUUUAAAGCUCAUUUUAGUGUUUUGUUUCUUGUUUUUUCCCCCAUAGAUUUACAGCUGUUCGGAUUUGACAGCAUUUCAGACAUGGUAAGCCUAUAUUCUGAAUCUUUUAUUAAGUUUUGUACUAAUUAAUAGGUACUGUUAAAACUUUUAUAAAAAGGUGUAUUAAUAGAAAAAUGCGGUUUGGGCAAUCAGAUUGUACGGCUAUAUGGGAGAUAAAGGACAACAGGGCAAUCAUAAGCAGCCAUUUAAAAAAAAGCAAAAUGCCAGAUGUGACUACUAUUGCAUGUGAGAGAGAUUUAUUAUGUUAACACUUAAUACUUGGGCAUGAGGAUGUGCGUCUAUAUAUAUAGGCUGUUGAAUACAUGUGGAAUUAUGUUUACACAAGAGUCUAUGUGCAUGUGCCUAUAUCUGUGUUUGUCUGUUAGACCUGGCUAGAGAACGUAAGUCAUAUGUAUAAAUAAAAGAUCAUGUAGUAAGGUUACCACAAGACUAUGCCAACAAUUAAGUUUGUUUGUUUUUUAGUGUAUACAUUGGCUGUUGCCUCUCUGUCAACAUUUGGAGCUGAAUUUGUUUAAAAUGCGUGAGAUUUGAUUUACAAUGUUUAAGGUAAACUUAUACUAACAUAAAAUAGUGUUCAGUGUAUUUUGCUUUUACAUUUGUUAGAAGAAACAUGUAAAUAUAUAACUAUGUGAUUUAGUUGAGUUAGUACUUUUAAGUAAUCACUGUAUAUAUUAAGCAAUACUGAAUUGCUAAAAACAUACUGCUUUAAAUGUGUUAUGUGUACAUUAAAUGCAAUGAUAUCCCCAUGAUUGAAAUAAUAUAUGAUUGUACACAGGCAUGAAAACACAUAUACGCAUGUAUGUGCUGUGUGUGUGUGUGUGUGUGUGUGUGUGUGUGUGUGUGUGUGUGUGUGUGUGUUAAGUUUGGGAUUUUGCAUGAGAAGACGCAGAAUUCUCCUCUGAGUGUGUGUGUGCGCCAGUUAUUAUGACUCAGAACGUAUAUUGUAAGAUAAGGAGGCCAUAAGGUGCUUGCAUACAUAAAAUCAGAUGACAAAUGUAUUCUUAAGACUUUUUUGGAAUAUGUAACUGCAUUUUUUUGUAAAAUUUAAUAUCAUAUAUAUUUUUGCAGCACUGUCUGUGUGGAAAAAGGUGUGGAAAAAGGUGAAAUCAUGAGUUAAUAAUUAUUACUUGUAAGUGUACUACUUUUAAAUAGAAAACUAAGGGAGACAAUAGUUUAUAAAUUUUUAAACCUGCAGAUGUUCUUGAAAAUGUUAAGCAAUGUUCUGUGCAUGUGUGCGUGUGUGUGUGUGUAUGCAUUUGUUUUUUCUUGUGGUUUAUAUAUCUGUGUAUAUAUGUCUGUGUUUGUAGCUGAAAAAACAGGAAUAAUUUAACAUAAUUAUCUGAUGUUAUUGUCUGUGUUUAAUGGUUUCUUUAAAUGUGUUUUGUUUUCUUUACAUCAGAAAAGCUGUGCUGAACCAAAUCCUGUGGUUGUUUAUCUGCAGAAACCUAAAAGUGGUGAUAUAAGCAGGUACCUCUAGCAUUUUUAGGAUCAGGAGCCUCUGACUCUAUAUAAAAGUUUGCCACUACAAAUGCAGCGCUAUGAAAGCAAGACUGUACAGAAACAGUUAACAUGUAAUAUGUAUACACUUGUUUCUAUAUAUACAUAUAAAACAAUUGCAGCUUAGUGUGUGGAAUGUGAUGUUUACAUUUUCUUGUGAAAUCUAAAAUUAUAUAGAAUAUAAUUAGGCGAGUUGUGAUUAUGAUAUUUGUUUUAUUUGUGAGAUGAGACGUCAUAAUUCAGAAAGGUGUAACAAUUGUUAUGCUGUAAAAAGAAAAACGUUAUAUUUUGACUUUUCUCGAUUAAAUGUUUUAUCUGUUUGUACAGAUGACCGUCAUGAGCACGUGCACAGGGAAUUGGAUAGCUGUGUUGAAAUUCACUUAGGACUGGUCUAUACUCAGCGAGGGCAGCUGAUUAAUUAAGGACCAAUUUGACAAUGUCAGGUAUUUAAGUCUCUAUCUCUAUAGGGCUUGCGUUUUGGGCAGUAUGCAGUAUACUGAGAACGCUGUAAUUUGCUCUCGUUUCAUGAUGCGUUUGGUGCGUGUUGUUUUUACAAAAAUAGUAAUAAAAACCAAAAAGCAGAAUAAAGUAAUAACUAAAGAUGACUGUAGAAUGAAGUAAGACGUUUAACAUUAUAGCUGCGUGUGUUUGUCUGUGAGAAGGCUGCUGUGUGGCAGAGACAAUGUGAUACUUUGACGGUCUUAAACGUUCAGUAUUUUCUGUGCAAAGGUGUAAAUGGUUGUUAGAGGACGAUGCUUACAAAAACAGUCUUUGUUGCUGUGUACUGAUUGUCAUGAGAGUCGAGAUGCUUUAAAUAAAAAAUAAGUAUUUAUGAGAUAUAAUACGAGCAAAAGUAUUUUGUUAGAACAGAACACGUGGAUAUUUUGAGGACGUUUGUCUGGAAGCAUAGACGAGAUAUUGCGUUUCUGGGUUUUUGAGGGCGCAGUUGAAGUGUAGAAGGUCGCUGUCCACUGCAGAGGUUCUGAAAAUGAAAUCUUGUGUACAGACAUCAGAUUACAGUGCGUUUAUGUCAGACUAUACGUUAAGAAAAUUGUCUAUAAAUGUUUGAUUGCUUGCUACAGGCCGUAGUGAUGUGAGGUGUGCUAAAGACACACGGUACGAUGCAUCACUAACAACGUCCACGGUUUAAGAUCGUCACGGUUCUCAGGAAGAGUGAACAAAAAACAGGAUUUUAAUUGAGAAUCAGGUAGAAAAUUGCAAAUAUAAUCCAGAGUCUACAAAACAGUAAGAAGGAGAGAGAAAGGUGAAAUAUGUAAAUACAUCGAUACUACAGGUGGGGUGAGAGUGACUCAGGGUGAGGAUGUGUGUGCAUGGACCCUAUGGGUGGAGUUUCUUUUAAAUACUGAAUGUAAAUGAUAUUAUUUAACAUAAGAAUAAGCAAGAGGCAAUCUGCGGAACAAAGUUAAGUGUGUGGGUUUAGACACACGCAUCGCCCGUGGCACCGGUGUCUCUAAAAGUUUGAAAAUAUUUCAGCGUAACAUGUAAAUGUCUUGUUAUAUCCAAUGUACUAAAUGUAUGUUAUAAUAUCUUGCAGGAAAUGGUGCACAUAGUGAAAUUAAACUAAUGUCUGUAUCAGUGUUGCUGUUCUGUGUACACAGCUGAGAAAACUUUGUAAUGCUUUGUAAUGCUAUAUAUAUAUAUAUAUAACGAAUUAUAUAUUUUACGUUUUGGGUGUUUAAUGAAUUCUGAUAUUGUGUCACUGUAACAUUUGGCAUCGUAUUAAAGUUCAAAUAAAUAAAACCUGUAUUUUC